rnacentral:snRNA from 1 species
AUCUGUCUGUGACAUCUAUCACCCCAUUGAUUGCCAGGGUUGAUUCAGCUGAUCUGGCUGUCUAGGCAGGUGUCCCCUU